CGAAAAGAGAAAGAAAAAUAAAUUUUAAAACUCCUAAAUUAAAGUUGCCAGUUUUCAACCUUGAAGUCCCUUUUCAGAAUGGCGAAGUCUCCCCAAGCCAGCUUUUCUAAAAGUUAAAGAAAGCUGAGAAAACCGACUGGAAAUCUACAAGUAAAUAGCUUAAAAACAUAUAUCAGUUGGGGUCUCAAGAAGCUCAAAUUCUCUAUCUGCAAAGCUCUAAGAUGCAUCUGGGGGUGUCGGCUCACCUCGUAGAUAUCUUCGUACUUGACAUUCUCCACGAGCUUCCAGAGCAUGAUGGCAGCCUGGUCUCUAGGAGGGUGCGGAAGUCUACUCACAGCCGGAACAGACGCCCAGAAGAGGAUCUCUUCCCCCUGGGACAGAAGAGAAAUAAAUGCCAGGAGGGACCGAGGAGGGAUGGGGCAAUUUGGGGUGGAAGUUAUUAAACCUGUUAAGAGUGAAUCUGCAAA